rnacentral:miRNA from 1 species
UGACGUCAGCGCACUAAAAUCAAAUUUUUUUUACUGUUGGUGCGUGUAAUACACGCGCCAACGGUAAAAAAAAUUUGACUGAAGUGCGCUGACGUCG